UACAGAGGGUGCAAGCGUUGUUCGGAAUUAUUGGGCGUAAAGCGCGUGUAGGCGGCUUUGCAAGUCGGGUGUGAAAGCCCUCAGCUCAACUGAGGAAGUACGCCCGAAACUGCAGAGCUUGAGUGCCGGAGAGGGUGGCGGAAUUCCCCAAGUAGAGGUGAAAUUCGUAGAUAUGGGGAGGAACACCGGUGGCGAAGGCGGCCACCUGGACGGUAACUGACGCUGAGACGCGAAAGCGUGGGUAGCAAACAGG
rnacentral:rRNA from 1 species